CGCUCUUCAGGACAUGGUUUUUGAUGCGGAAUCCAAGUCAGUGUUGCAUACAGAGAUGGCAAAGAAGAAUCUAUUUGUGAAAAGAGGAAUAGUAGCAGAUUCUAGUGCUUAUGAUCAAAGUAAACGUUUGAGAACUGGUGGUGACUAUUCUCACACUGCUUAUACAACUCCAUCUCCUUUUCACCCUCCUCCUGCCCCCGUCUGGGGACCACAUGGGUAUAUGGCCCCUGCUCCACCUCCAUAUGAUCCAUAUGCAGGCUAUCCUGUUCCUCAGGUACCAAUGCCAACCCCUGCACCGAUACCAGCUCCUAGCAGUUAUGUACCUGUUCAGAAUACAAAAGAUAACCCUCCUUGUAAUACCCUAUUUAUUGGUAAUCUUGGAGAGAAUAUCAAUGAGGAAGAACUGAGGGGUCUAUUCAGCGUACAACCUGGCUUUAAGCAAAUGAAAAUUUUGAGACAGGAAAGACAUACUGUUUGUUUUAUUGAAUUUGAAGACGUGAACAGUGCAACCAAUGUGCACCGUAGUUUGCAAGGUGCUGUUAUCCCAAGCUCUGGUUCUGUUGGCAUGCGAAUACAGUACUCAAAGAACCCAUUUGGUAAGAGGAAAGAUGCAAGUCACCCUGCUGCUUCUCCCAGUGCCAAUGGAGCUCCACCAACUAUUACCUACCAGUAGCUCGAAGGGGAUGUACUCUGAUCCUUAUGCACCGAGAAAUACAUGAUAGGAUGCAUCUUGCAGCUGUUGCAUGCAUCCAUUUCAUAUUCAACAUCAGCAUUAGCAUCUCUUCUCAUGUGCAUGAAUGCACACAGUGCUGUCAUGAACGCACCAUCUGUUCAUGUUAUACUAAUUUCUCCUGGACAUGCAUUUGUCAGCACCAUAUGUUGAUGUGUGGAUAACCUAAUAGGGCAGAUAUAUUUACCAUUUGUAGAAGUGGUGCAUCGCAGUUUUUUU
rnacentral:misc_RNA from 1 species